GAUGCACCUGAUGUGUACAAAAAGACACAGUUUCACAGGAACAAACAAGGGUUAAAAACUACAGAAUCUGCGUUGUAUUGUAGUAUUCAAGUAUGGAUUUAACAGUCAAAGAUUAUGGCGAAGGGAUUCGCUUAUUGUUUCUUAUCAUUCCUGAAUAAAUUGAGUUUGAUCCCUUUUAGUAAUUCUGAUUAACACAACACAACUUAAACUUAUCAGAAUUUCAUCAAAAUAAAUACAAACUACAGCGAGGGAGCUGUAUUACUACAGCUGCUAGCUAGCAGGCAAACGUAUAAGCUUGUUUUUACUUAAAAAAUGCAGUCAGCUACUUCUUGGUGACUAGUUCAACCUAGAGUUUAGAAAAACUUCAAUGCUGUUUUUCCAUAAAAUGACUGUUUGCCAAACUCCAUAUUUCAAUUGAAACAUGUUUUGAUCUAGCAGCUUUUUAUUCAGAUCAGUUCCAUUCAGCUUAUUGAUAUAGUUCCAAUUCACAGGUAAAGUUGUAUAUAUAUCAGAUAAAUUAAAAUUCAUACCAUUUCUAUCAUAUAAAAUGGUUAGAAUGAAUGACAUAUGUUAAUAUGGUGAAGUGUUUGACCCUAACAGAUUUAUCUGUUUUUGCUUUUUUGUCACACAUUUCAGAUUAUCAAAUAAUUGUAAUAUAAAACAAGAAUAAUCUGGUUAAAUAUUAAAUGGACUAUGCGUUAUCAGUAAUUAAUGCAGUGAGUUGUUGACUUUGCAACAUUCCCUCAGCCCUCAUCUCUAACUCUGACCAUGCUUUACAGUUACACAGGCGGCCAGUUCUUGUUGGGCAGCCUACCACUGUUGCUUGUUCUCCUGUUGUGCGUUUGGUUGUGAUUUCCUUCUAUGUACUUACAUUGAUAUAACUGCGGUCUUCUCGUUUUUUCCCAAGCUCCACUUGUUGUGUUUCCCAGUCUCCGUGGGACGUCUCUGCCAACUCCACUCCAUCAACUUGUAUGCUUAUCCCACAUUCUGCAAAAUAAAACUGCUUUCUUAAUUUCCAUUCACUUACGGUGUUGUAAGAAAGAACAGGUCAUGUACAGCAAAAUGGUGCCUAAAGAUGGUUGUCGUGAAGAGGUUUAAUAAUACUGCAGCAGUCAUUAAAUGUGGUAUUUUGUGUUUAAUUAAGAGAAACGAUUUGUAAUAUUGUUCAGCUAAUUACAUUUUUCUUGUUUGGACAAUUUGCCAAUAAAUCUGAUUUGCAGCCAGGGUAAAAUAGGAUUUGCAACUGUAGUGCAAAUCUUUUGACAAAGAGUCAAAAAAUGAAUAAAAACAAAUAACACAGGAUGUUGGUUAGUGACAAUGGAGAAGUGAGUGAGUAAUGAGUCUGAACAAUAACACCCACAGCUCGUGUAGGGAGGAAGUCACACAAGUGUAAUAAGAACUGGUGGCUACAGUGUGAAAUUGUAUGUCAGAAGGAUAACAUGUCUGUCGAUGAUACUAAAUUACUGUUUGAAGGGUUUCUGCAGAAAAGAAAGGACACUUUGAAAAUAAGAUGGGUGACCUACUGGUUCAGGCUUCAAAACACUACUUUGUUCUUUUAUACUAAGAAAAAUGGCAGCGCUUCACAUCUAAGAGGCUAUUACUACAUUUACACAGUAAGGCAUUAAUUUUCUUUCAGCUUUAACUCAUGUUGAUUUGCAGUUGUGAAAUAUAAAAGCAUAUUUAUGGUCCAGCUUCUUUUUCUGAAACAGAAUCCAAAAAUAUUCAAAAAUGUUGCUCUGUAUCUAAAUGAAAUAAUUUAAUAAUUGUGAUGGGGAACACAUAGUUUUCAAAAAACAUGUGGGAGAAAACUAACACUGCAUAUUUCCACCCCCGCACCGGUUGCAUUUUAAGAAAUAUCCAUCGUUUUAAUAAUAAAUCAAUUGCAUUAAAUUACCAAACAUUAAAGUUCAAUACUAGGGUGAUAUUAUCAUUAUUAUUAUUCAAAUUGGAUGUGAUAUUCUGUAGAUAGAUAACUACAUUCCAAAGCAGUCACUUUUUACUGUAAUUUGGGAUUUGAUAAAAAAAAAUGGUUGGCACUAGCUCAUGGUUUCUGUGAAAAUGCAAUGCAUUAUUUUGGCUUAUUUUGGUAAAUGGCUUACCGUGUGGUGGGGUGGAUUUGA